rnacentral:lncRNA from 1 species
CGUCAUCCGCCAAAAAUACGCAUGUGAGAAUAGCAGGGUGUAUAUCAGCUGUCCGUUAAACUACAAAAUUAAAGUUAUGUGCUCCAUCUACGGACGCACUGUUUCACGUACCAAGCGCUGUUCGACCACCUCAAUUAAAUAUCAAGACACGACGUGCAUUGCGCAAUCAUCAGUAUCUAAGGUCAGACAGUACUGCGAAGGAAAAAGGUCGUGUAGUGUCUUGGCUAGUAACAGUAUGUUUGGUGACCCCUGUGUCGGAACACGGAAGUAUCUGGACAUUGUGUACGAUUGCGUCAAGAAAUGCUAGAACUUAUCAACUCGACCGCGUUUAAUGACAACAAGAACAAGGGAAAAAAUAAAUUUUAAAUUUUGAUAAUGAUAUUUCUUAAUGCAGACAUUAAGAUUGAGCAAUUAUGGGUAUCCUACAACUAUUUUCUAUAACUUGUCUAUUGUCAAGUUUAUUAUUAUUUGUGAGUAGAAAAGGAUAAUACCUUAACACUGCACUGUCCAGUCCCUAUUCAGGGGACGAUUUAGGGUGGCGUACGGAGGCAGUUUUGCCACUGCCGUCAUUUUUUUUAAACAGAAAUAUUUCUGUAACAGUAUAUAAUGCACAUGAAUUAUUAUACCAUUACUUAAUACUUAUUUAUCUGUAUAAUUAUUUCAGAUCUAUGUUCUUCUGUCAUUAGGCUCUAUCGUUCAAAUUGAUUAUUUCAGUAAUUUCUGAUCUUUUCUAGCUCAUUCAUUCCCAUUUACUAAUAUAAAACCCAGUGGUUAUUAUAUUGUCUAAUGGCCUUCUUCACAUUAUACCAUUGUGGUUUAUGAAUUUAUCUCCUCGCUUUUAAUUUUCAUGUACAUCCAUUUUACAUAAUAAAUUUAUUUGCAACCAGAACCUUAAAA